AGAGUUUGAUCCUGGCUCAGAUUGAACGCUGGCGGCAUGCUUUACACAUGCAAGUCGAACGGCAGCGCGGGCUUCGGCCUGGCGGCGAGUGGCGAACGGGUGAGUAAUAUAUCGGAACGUACCCAAGAGUGGGGGAUAACGUAGCGAAAGUUACGCUAAUACCGCAUACGAUCUAAGGAUGAAAGCAGGGGAUCGCAAGACCUUGUGCUCCUGGAGCGGCCGAUAUCUGAUUAGCUAGUUGGUGAGGUAAAGGCUCACCAAGGCAACGAUCAGUAGCUGGUCUGAGAGGACGACCAGCCACACUGGAACUGAGACACGGUCCAGACUCCUACGGGAGGCAGCAGUGGGGAAUUUUGGACAAUGGGGGCAACCCUGAUCCAGCAAUGCCGCGUGAGUGAAGAAGGCCUUCGGGUUGUAAAGCUCUUUUGUCAGGGAAGAAAAGGCUGUGGCUAAUAUCCACAGCUGCUGACGGUACCUGAAGAAUAAGCACCGGCUAACUACGUGCCAGCAGCCGCGGUAAUAC
rnacentral:rRNA from 1 species